rnacentral:rRNA from 1 species
UACAGAGGUGGCAAGCGUUGUUCGGAAUUACUGGGCGUAAAGGGCGCGUAGGCGGUCUUUUAAGUCUUGUGUGAAAUCCCUCGGCUCAACUGAGGAACUGCACGGGAUACUGGAAGACUUGAGUUCGGGAGAGGGAAGCGGAAUUCCAGGUGUAGCGGUGAAAUGCGUAGAUAUCUGAAGGAACGCCCGUGGCGAAAGCGAGUUCCUGGACGUCGGCUGACGCUGAGACGCGAAAGCCAGGGGGAGCGAACGGG